rnacentral:rRNA from 1 species
UACGUAGGUGGCGAGCGUUGUCCGGAUUUACUGGGCGUAAAGGGAGCGUAGGCGGAUUUUUAAGUGAGAUGUGGAAUACUCGGGCUCAACUUGAGUGCUGCAUUUCAAACUGGAAGUCUAGAGUGCAGGAGAGGAGAAUGGAAUUCCUAGUGUAGCGGUGAAAUGCGUAGAGAUUAGGAAGAACACCAGUGGCGAAGGCGAUUCUCUGGACUGUAACUGACGCUGAGGCUCGAAAGCGUGGGGAGCAAACAGG